rnacentral:rRNA from 1 species
AACGUAGGAGACGAACGUUAUCCGGAGUUACUGGGCGUAAAGGGCGUGUAGGCGGUUUGUUAAGUCUGGCGUGAAAGCUCUCGGCUAAACCGGGAGAGGUCGUUGGAUACUGGCGAACUAGAGGAUGGUAGAGGCGUGUGGAAUUCCGGGUGUAGUGGUGAAAUGCGUAGAGAUCCGGAGGAACACCAGUGGCGAAGGCGACUUACUGGACACAUAUUGACGCUGAGGUGCGAAAGCGUGGGGAGCAAACAGGG